rnacentral:rRNA from 1 species
GGCUCAGUAACACGUAGUUAAUCUACCCUUGGGACGGAGAUAACCCUGGGAAACUGGGACUAAUAUCCGAUAGAUGAGUAUGUCUGGAAUGGCUUUCCAUCUAAAGGUUCUUAGAAACAUGUUUCUAGGAAUGCCCAAGGAUGAAACUGCGACCGAUCAGGCUGUUGGUGGGGUAACGGCCCACCAAACCUAUAACCGGUACGGGCCCUGAAAGGGGAAGCCCGGAGAUGGGAACUGAGACAAGGUCCCAGGCCCUACGGGGCGCAGCAGGCGCGAAACCUCCGCAAUGCGCGAAAGCGUGACGGGGUUACCCCGAGUGCUGUCCGUUGAGGAUAGCUUUUCCCCAGUGUAAGGAACUGGGGGAAUAAAGGGGGGGCAAGUCUGGUGUCAGCCGCCGCGGUAAUACCAGCCCCCUGAGUGAUAGGGACGACUAUUUAGCCUAAAGCGUCCGUAGCCGGCUUAGCAAGCCUUUCGUUAAAUCUGACGACUUAAUCGCCAGGCCGCGGAAGAUACUGCCAGGCUAGAGGGCGGGAGAGGUUGACGGUAGUCNCGGGGUAGGGGUGAAAUCCUAUAAUCCUGGGAGGACCACCAGUGGCGANNGCGGUCAACUAGANCGCGCCUGACGGUGAGGGACGAAAGCUGGGGGAGCGAACCGAUUAGACACCCGGGUAGUCC